ACUGAUUUCAAUUGACAAGUAAUUUUUGUUUCAUGUCAUUACUUCCAGAGUCUCUUUUUUCAGUAAGUGGAUUGCACAUCCAGAUUAGAUCAGACUUCUUCUUCUUACAUUAAGCCUAAGUUACAUAACAUAAUGCUGAUUUCCAUCAAAACCCUUUUUUCCCCCAACUAUCAGAUAUGUUACAUAUUAAAAUCCAUUACAACAUUGUCAAAAUACAGCCUUUACUGUGACUCAGAUUAAAGGUGUGUUGGAAAAAUGUUUUAGUCCAACAGCAUAUCAUUCACGUGUCACCAAACACAAUUUGACUUUUGCACUAACUACCAACGAGCAGUUGAUUCAGAUUCUUUCAUUUAACUUUAAUAACUGCAGCUUCAAACUGUGUUUAGCAAAAUAUAAAUAACACUAACACAUGGAUACAAGGUUAAGUCACCCCAUAAUACCAGGCCAUGCCCAGAAAAGUACAGUGUACUUAAGUAAAUACUGUUUUUCUGAAAAAUCACCAGGUAACGACUCAAAAUUAGUUGUGCCGUACGCAAAAAGGUCUCAGUCUAAGUCUAAACUGUGAUUACACCACUACAAAACCUUCAUUUUGUUUGUGGACUUGAUGGGUGUUUCAGCUCAUUGCCGUGCAAUAUAACCCAAGUGUGCUUUUGUUUCAGGCUCAAAUUCAUGGUUCCUUCAAUUACAGCAAGUCCUCAAUGUCCUGACACAGGAAAGCUGCCCCAGCCCAACACAGUACCACCACCAUGUUUAACUGUUGAUAAUUGUUCUCACCAUGGUUUGCUGAAGCUCCAAAGCCUUGGAAAUGACUUUCAAUUCAAUUCAACUUAUAUAGCACCAUAUAACAAUGAUCAUCUCAAGAAGCUUUAUUAUUGACAUUGCAGACAUAUGGAGACACAACAAUUUCCACUAGACUCUCCAAACGGUGAUACUCCGAACUUGGAACACCAGACUCAUGGAUACCCUGGCAGGAAAAGACAAAGACGUUCAUACAAUUUUUGAUGUUAAGUGAGCAACUUUGGGCCUUUGUACGAUAUUUUAAAAACUGAAGACAUUUUUUUCUCACUUCAAAAUACUAAGUAAGGAUGGAUACCAGGACCAGAGUGGUCAGUAGUAUGGAGAAGCAUCUAGGCAAACUGUACUAUACAGGAAGGUAGUUACAUUUGCAAAUAUAACAUUCUUCACAACAAAAGCAGCACAAUAUGUUUACUUUAGCAAGCAGUCAGUGCUUUAUAUCAGCAUCUUCAGGGCAACCUCCUGGUCCCACACUAAAUGAACCUUUAGUAAGUACUUCUUUAAAUGUCGACAAGCAGCAGCCAUAGUUCUGUCAGAUCAAACGUAUAACCAAAUUCUUAAACUGCUUAAUUAUUGUGAAAAAAUUUCCCACCAUUUAUUACAGUAGAAUCAAGUUGAUUUGGGUUGAUUUAGGUCCUGAAUGCUAGGUAACAAAUCAUCACAACAGCAACAACUACCAUGUAGCUACACUAAGUCUGAACUUAGUGUAAACUGUCAUGACAAUGAGAAACAAUUUAGUAUUGUAGUAAUAUUGUUGGCAGAAGUACGAUUAUUUUGGCCCCGUAAUGUAUCAGAAGUACUCAUAACGUCUGUCAUAUCUUUAUUUUAUAUAAAAUAUAGAGAAUGGUAUCAGCUAGUGUAUUGAUAAGUAAUAUCUGUAUCCAAAAAUCAAAAACCUAUUGAAGGUCUUUGCGUUAAAACUUUUUAGAUUUAGGGGUAUUACUGAUGAUUAGUACUUUUAAAUAGCCUGGUUUUUUAUUUUUGCUGUUUUAUCUAUAAUUUCACCGACAACAACAUCAGUACUUAGCUUACAUAAGAGUGAACUAUGUUAGCAAUAAACCCAAAAUGAAAACUUUUAUGGACUCACAAAGUUACUUUCUGUUUAAUAAUGGCUACACCUCUGACCUAACUGCAUUCUUAUACUCAUACCUUUUCUUUAUCCUUUGGGACAUUAACAUUUGAUGCAAGCUCAGUUUUAGCUGCAUUUCCAAAUAAUAUGAUUAAGCUAACAUGGACAAACUGUUUCAUAUGUAUCUGAUUGUAUUUUCUGGGUUACAGUGAUGUUGCCCAUGAAGAAAUAUCGUGCUAAUUAAGAAAUAAAGGCUAUAACUGACCUGUAA